rnacentral:tRNA from 1 species
GCACCGGUAGUAUAAUGGCUAGUAUGUCGGCCUUCCAAGUCGAUAAUCGGGGUUCAAAUCCCCGCCGGUGCA